rnacentral:sRNA from 1 species
CUGAUGCGAAUUUCCUGCGUCAUGCAGUUACCAGUAGGAGUAUUCAUGGUUACGAAACACAUGGUUUCUCUUAAAAAUGAUGCCUUGGUGGUUUGUUUCUGUGCUUUGACGAUUUUAUUCAAAUUGUGAUUUGUUUACUUGUCAUAGUCCAUGCUCCGAGGGAGAGGAGGUUGUUACAAACACACAUUCUAUGGAAUUGAGAGCCAUCGCUGCAUGGAAACCACCCCAAGCUUGGCAUGUGCUAAUAAAUGUGUCUUCUGUUGGCGGCACACACCCACCCCGUGGGCAUGAGUGGCGUAUGGAAGAUGGACCAGCCUGAAAUGAUCUUGAAGGAAGCCAUUGAAAACAUCAGAACAUGAUUAAGCAGUUUAAAG